CUUGACGUAAAGGGACACUACGCGAACGUGACACAGCUAAACAGGUGAAGAGCUUCUCAAAGGAGGCAGCAGGAGUCAACGAACCUACGGAAUAAAACUAUCGGAAAACAAAACAGAGUUACCUUAUUUAUCUGAGAGAAUAUAUUGAAUUUCUUUGUUUGAGACCAAAGACCGAAAAGAAAGCCGAAUCUGCAUUGAAACCUUUAAUUUACACCAGAGGACCUUUAAAUAUGGAGUUUCCUGAUUUGGGAGAGCACUGCUCUGAGAAUACCUGUAAACGUUUAGAUUUUCUUCCAAUGAGAUGUGAUGCUUGUCAGGAGAUCUUCUGCAAAGAUCACAUUACCUAUGCAAAUCACAAAUGCACAUCUUCCUACAAAAAGGAUGUCCAGGUACCAGUUUGCCCAUUGUGUAACACUCCUAUUCCCAUAAAAAGAGGAGAGAUGCCUGACAUUAAAGUUGGGGAGCACAUCGACCGGGAUUGCAAAUCGGACCCGGCGCAAAGGAAGAGAAAGAUAUUCACCAAUAAAUGUUCUAAAGGUGGCUGUAAACAAAAGGAAAUGAUACGAGUCACCUGCGAUCAGUGUCAUUUAAAUUACUGUCUCAAACAUCGCCACCCUCUAGACCACGAUUGUAAGACGGAUGGAAAGCCUCUUUCCAAGUCUGGAAAUGCUGCUUUAAUGAGGUCCCGAGGUGCUUCCUCCUCUUCUGCCUCUAGUUCUCGUUCAUCUGCUUCAGGAAACCCCAGACCCGUUUCUAACGGUUCAACCAUAAAUAGUAGAGCUCACAGCUCAGGCUCUACCCCACGGAUUCCUACAUCCGUUUCAGCACAGAAUGUAAUACCCCCUUCAGCAUCAUUUCAGGCAAACAUGACAGAGGAGCAGGCUUUACAAAGAGCUCUAGAGAUGUCCUUGGCUGAAACAAGGCCAGCUGUUCAGCCGACCCUAAGAACUCUGAGAGCAUCUUGGAGUCAGGAGCUGUUUUUGCUGAUCAAGCGCAUGACGGUUUACCAGAUCAAAUGAAAGCCCUCAGGAGCAGGAGGAUCUGGCUCUGGCUCAGGCUCUCGCUGCCAGCGAAGAAGAAUACAGACGUCAACAACAGAGACAACAGGGAAGGGAGACUAAACAAUCCACCUGCUGCCUUUCGUAGUCUAUGGGCUUGAUUUAUGCUUUAAGCUGUGCGAAUGAUUUGCUAUGAACUGUAUUACUAAGUCAAUACUCAGAAUAAGUGAUUGUUCCAUGAAGAAUUACUCUUGAAGGUUGCUGCAAUCUUGCCGCUUUCCACAUAUAAGCACAUGUACUUUUCUGCAGGAUUUGUCAUUUUUAUGAAAUCGAUAUCCGUGUAAAUAUUUUAUAUGCCAAUCACGAUGAAUCUAUUAUAUUGCCUCAUAUAGAUAAUGAAUAAAUUAAAGGUGCACUUGAAUUUUAACUUAGUCCUGUGAUUGUAAUCUAAUGCUCUUCAAUAAAAGUGAAGGUUGCUAUUAAAGCACAUCAGGAAGUCCAUCACAGAAGUGGAGUGGAAUAAAUUUGCCCACCCUUUUAGUGGGAAAUGUCA